rnacentral:rRNA from 1 species
UCACCUCCCAUCCGUGUCUAUCUGUACCCUGUUGCUUCGGCGUGGCCACGGCCCGCCGGAGACUAACAUUUGAACGCUGUCUGAAGUUUGCAGUCUGAGUUUUUAGUUAAACAAUCGUUAAAACUUUCAACAACGGAUCUCUUGGUUCCGGCAUCGAUGAAGAACGCAGCGAAAUGCGAUAAUUAAUGUGAAUUGCAGAAUUCAGUGAAUCAUCGAGUCUUUGAACGCACAUUGCGCCCCCUGGUAUUCCGGGGGGCAUGCCUGUCCGAGCGUCAUUGCUGCCCUCAAGCACGGCUUGUGUGUUGGGCUUCCGUCCCUGGCAACGGGGACGGGCCCAAAAGGCAGUGGCGGCACCAUGUCUGGUCCUCGAGCGUAUGGGGCUUUGUCACCCGCUCCCGUAGGUCCAGCUGGCAGCUAGCCUCGCAACCAAUCUUUUUAACCAGGUUGACCUCGGAUCAGGUAGGGAUACCCGCUGAACUUAAGCAUAUCAUAA